GUGAAAUUGUUGAAAGGGAAACGAUUGAAGUCAGUCGUGUUCUUUGGAUUCAGCUAGUUCUUCUAGUCUACUUCCAUUGAACGGGUCAACAUCAGUUUUGUCCGGUGGAUAAAGAUAGUAGGAAUGUAGCUCCCCCGGGAGUGUUAUAGACUAUUAUUGCAUACACUGGGUGAGACUGAGGACUGCAGCUCGCCUUUUGGCCGGUCUUCGGACACGUUCGAGCUUAGGAUGUUGACAUAAUGGCUUUAAACGACCCGUCUUGAAACACGGACCAAGGAGUC
rnacentral:rRNA from 1 species